rnacentral:lncRNA from 10 species
UUGAAGACUGCUUGCAGUUGGCCAUUUCCAGCUUGAUGUCAGAUGACCAGCUUUGAUGAGGCUGGUGAAGCGCUCACCUGAGGUAUAGGAGCCUCUGGUUUCUGGAUUUUUCACAAAGAGAACUGGUCUGCAUGGUGCUGAGUCACUGUCUCCAUGCCAGGAAAGAGGGUCUGGGGCUACCUCUUCUGCUUUCUUGAUGACGUCACAACCUCUCAGUCUCUUCUUCUCAAUGUUCCACGUUCUCAACUUCAAAUUAUAUGUAAGAACACAUACGCAUCAUUCAAAUUCCAGUGAUGAAUUUGCCAAAGUGGUUCCUUCCUUCCAUUGUGGCUCGUAAACAUCAUUCUGUCCUUGCGGGACUCCUGCCACGAACCUAGUGAUGGGAAUCUGCCUGCAGCCUUCUGAAGCCAGCCUGGAACCAGCUG